rnacentral:pre_miRNA from 1 species
UGUAGAAUCACCUGGGGAUCUUAUUAAAAUGCAGAUUUUGAUUCAGUAGGUUCGGGGUGGGUCAGAGUUCUACAUUUUAACAAGCUCCCAGGUGAUGCUAAU